rnacentral:rRNA from 1 species
AAGAGAUCGGGGAUAACACCCUGGGAAACAGAUGCUAAUACCCGGGAUAACAACAGAUGAUGCCUAUCAACUGUUUAAAAAGAUGGUUCUGCUAUCACUCUUGGGAUGGGACCUGCGGUGCAUUAGCUAGUUGGUAGGGUAACGGCCUACCAAGGCGAUGAUGCAUAGCCGAGUUGAGAGACUGAUCGGCCACAUUGGGACUGAGACACGGCCCCAAACUCCUACGGGAGGCAGCAGUAGGGAAUCUUCCACAAUGGACGCAAGUCUGAUGGAGCAACGCCGCGUGAGUGAAGAAGGGUUUCGGCUCGUAAGGCUCUGUUGUUGGUGAAGAAGGACAGGGGUAGUAACUGACCUUUGUUUGACGGUAAUCAAUUAGAAAGUCACGGCUAACUACGUGCCAGCAGCCGCGGUAAU